GUAUUUGAACAGUUUCUGAGGACUCUGUAUGACGUGCCUCCCUACUUCAAGACAGAGCCAGUGCGUAGCCAGCUCCAUCUGGAACGUAACAGGCUGGUGCUGACCUGCAUGGCGGAGGGAAGCUGGCCACUAGAGUUUAAAUGGAUCCACAAUAGCACAGAAUUAACACGCUUUUCACUGGAGUACAGGUACCUAAUCCCUUCACUGGACCGCUCCCAUGCUGGCUUUUACCGCUGCAUUGUGAGAAAUCGGGUGGGAGCCCUUCUGCAGAGGCGCACAGAAGUACAAGUGGCCUUUAUGGGCAGUUUUGAGGAAGGCGAACGCACCCAGUCAGUCUCUCAGGGAGAGGGUGCUGUGAUUCCAGCGCCACGCAUCCGCAGCUUCCCUCAGCCACAAGUCACCUGGUUCAGAGAUGGGCGCAAGAUUCCACCCAGCAGCCGCAUUGCCAUUACUUUGGACAACACGCUGGUUAUCUUGUCUACUGUGGCACCGGAUGCCGGACGCUACUAUGUGCAAGCUGUAAAUGACAAGAAUGGAGAGAACAAGACCAGCCAGCCCAUCACCUUGUCAGUAGAGAAUGUUGGCGGUCCAGCAGAUCCCAUUGCCCCCACCAUUAUCAUCCCUCCCAGGAACACCAGUGUGGUCACAGGCACAUCAGAGGUCACGAUGGAGUGUGUGGCCAAUGCCAGACCUCUUAUCAAGCUGAGUAUCUCAUGGCGUAAGAACGGCGUGUUGGUGAACAGCGGUUUGAGUGACUUCAACCGCAGACUGACCAUCCUGAGUCCUGUGGUGAGCGACGCCGGCUACUACGAGUGUGAGGCCAUUCUCCGCAGCAGCAGCGUGCCUUCAGUCAGUGCUGGGGCUUAUCUGCAUGUCCUUGAGCCACCACAGUUUAUAAAGGAACCGGAGAAACACAUCACAGCUGAGAUGGAGAAGGUGGUUGACAUUCCCUGUCAGGCACGGGGAGUGCCCCAGCCAGACAUUGUGUGGUACAAGGAUGCUUUGCCUAUCGACCCAGUGAGGACACCCAGGUACAGGGUGUUGGUGGGCGGCAGCCUCCAGGUCAACGGCCUACUGCCUGAUGACACCGGCAUGUUCCAGUGCUUUGCCCGAAAUUCAGCCGGAGAAGUUCAGACCAACACUUACCUGGCUGUUACAAGCAUUGCCCCGAAUAUCACAGCCGGACCCUCUGAUAGCACUGUGAUCGACGGGAUGUCAGUCAUUCUGCACUGUGAGACCUCUGGAGCUCCAAGGCCAGCUAUCACCUGGCAAAAAGGUGAGCGCGUGUUAGCCAGCGGUUCAGUCCAGCUGCCCCGGUUCACCCUGCUUGAAUCGGGCAGCUUGCUCAUCUCGCCUUCACACAUCUCUGAUGCCGGGACCUACACUUGCAUGGCAAGCAACUCCAGGGGCAUUGACGAGGCAUCUGCUGACCUUGUUGUUUGGGCUCGCACUCGGAUUACCACCCCCCCACAGGACCAGAGCGUUAUCAAAGGAACUAAAGCCAUUAUGAACUGUGGAGUCACACACGACCCAAGUGUGACAUCUUUGUAUUCCAGGCAUGUCUGGGAAAAAGAGGGCUCAGUCAUAAACGUUCAGUCCAUCCCCCGCAUGCGGCUAGAUGCAGAUGGUACGCUUCACAUCUCCCAAACCUGGUCAGGUGACAUAGGCACCUACACAUGCCGAGUGACCUCUGUUGGAGGCAACGACUCCCGCAGCGCGCACCUCCGUGUCAGACAGUUGCCCCAUGCCCCAGAGAACCCUACGGCCGUGCUGAGCAAAUCUGAAAAAAGAGCCAUCGACCUGGCUUGGGCCAAGCCUUUUGAUGGCAACAGUCCCCUCAUACGCUAUAUCCUGGAGGUUUCUGAGAACAAUGCUCCCUGGGCCAUCCUGCUGGCCAAUAUUGAACCUGAGUCCACAGCAGUGACGGUCAACGGCUUGAUCCCAGCUCGCUCCUAUCAGUUCCGCCUCUGUGCUGUUAAUGAUGUGGGGAAGGGACAGUUUAGCAAGGAGACAGACCGGGUCUCUCUCCCAGAGGAGCCCCCCAGUGCUCCUCCUCAAAAUGUCAUUGCUAGUGGUCGAACCAACCAAUCUAUCAUGAUCCAGUGGCAGCCUCCGCCGGAAAGCCACCAGAACGGCAUCCUCAGAGGCUACAUCGUUCGGUACCGUCUCACUGGGCUGCCUGUGGACAACCAAAUCAAGAACAUUUCCAGCCCGGAUGUGACCACGCUGCUGCUGGAAGACCUCAUCAUCUGGACCAAUUAUGAGAUUGAGGUGGCUGCCUAUAAUGGGGCAGGUUUGGGCACUUUCAGCCAUAAGGUUACUGAGUGGACCCUGCAAGGAGUGCCCACCAUAGCUCCAGGCAACGUGCAGGCCGAGGCGGUCAACUCAACAACUAUCCGUUUUACGUGGACAGCCCCUAACCCCCAGUUCAUCAACGGCAUUAACCAGGGCUACAAGUUGCUGGCCUGGGAACCUGGCAAGGAUGACGAAGUUGCCAUGGUAACAGUACGACCGAACUUCCAGGACAGCGUCCAUGUGGGAUAUGUGACAGGUCUGAAGAAGUUCACUGAGUAUUACACCUCUGUGCUGUGCUUCACGACACCCGGAGACGGCCCCCGCAGCCCGCCUAAAGCAUUGAGGACGCAUGAGGACACCCCCGGUGCAGUGGGUCAUCUGAGUUUCACCGAGAUUUUGGACACCUCACUCAAAGUCAGCUGGAGUGAGCCCAGCGAGAAGAAUGGAGUUCUCACAGGUUACCGCAUUUCUUGGGAGGAGUACAACCGAACAAACACCAGAGUCACCCACUACCUGCCCAAUGUCACCUUAGAGUACAGGGUCACUGGGCUCACUGCUCUCACCACCUACACUAUUGAAGUGGCAGGAAUGACCUCCAAGGGCCAGGGCAUGCUGUCCUCCUCCACCAUUUCCUCCGGUGUCCCACCAGAGCUUCCUGGCCCUCCUACCAACAUGGCAAUUUCCAAUAUUGGCCCACGCUCCAUCAAUCUGCAGUUCAAACCUGGCUAUGAUGGCAAAACUUCUAUUUCCCGCUGGCUAGUGGAGGCCCAGGUGGGUGCGGUAGGAGAAAAUGAGGAUUGGUUGAUGGUCCACCAGGUGUUCAACGAACCUGAGGCUCGCUCCUUAGAGGUGCCAGGUCUCAACCCAUAUACCUUUUACAGGUUUCGCAUGCGUCAGGUGAACAUAGUGGGUACCAGUCCUCCCAGCCAGCCCUCCAGAAAAAUUCAGACCCUACCAGCUCCUCCCGACAUGGCCCCUGCCAACGUCACCCUGCGCACCGCUAGCGAAACAAGCCUCUGGUUACGAUGGAUGCCUUUGCCUGAAUGGGAAUAUAAUGGGAAUGCAGAGCAGGUGGGCUACAGGGUUCAGUACUCCCGUGCAGGCUCACAGGGCCAUCCACUCACCCAUGUUAUUACCGACCGUCUGGAGAGAGAGUUUACUAUUGAGGACCUGGAGGAGUGGACAGAAUAUGAGGUCAGGGUCCAGGCUGUCAACGGCAUUGGAGUGGGACCCUGGAGCCAACCGGUCAGAGGCAGGACACGGGAGUCUGGUGAGUUCCACGCUGUGGAAAAACACUGUUUUGUUUGGAAAAGUAAUGCACAAACUUCAAUAGAUUAUCAGGUGGUGUAUAAAGAAAAAGACUCGGACAGUCCAGUCCACUUCUGGACAGUAGAGGGAAAUGCCACUCACAGUGUCCAGCUGACUGGUCUGGGGAAAUAUGUGCUCUAUGAGAUCCAAGUUCUGGCAUUCACACGGAUUGGAGAUGGACGGCCGAGCUCUCCACCUAUUCUUGAAAGGACCUUGGAUGAUGUCCCAGGACCUCCAGUGGGUAUCCUGUUCCCUGAAGUCCGAACCACCUCAGUCCGCCUUAUUUGGCAGUCCCCUGCCCAGCCGAAUGGCAUUAUACUUGCCUACCAGAUCACGUACCACCUCAACUCCACCAAUAGCAACACAGCCACAGUGGAUGUGCUGAACCCCAGCGCCCGCCAGUACACGGUGACUAACCUCAAGCCAGAAACUGUCUAUGUGUUUCGCAUCACGGCACAGACAAGGAAAGGCUGGGGUGAGGCGGCCGAGGCACUCGUGGUUACCACGGAGAAAAGAGCUCGUCCUCAGCCUACCAGCCGCCCCCUGGUUCCUCAAAAACACGUUCAGGCUCGCCAGGUGUUACUUUCAUGGGAGCCUGGUAGUGACGGCCUGUCCCCCGUGCGUUACUAUACGGUCCAGCUAAGAGAGCUUCCUGAAAGCAACUGGACAGUCCACUCAGCAUCUGUCAGCCACGAGGCCACAACCUACAUAGUAUCCAGGCUGAAACCCUUCACAUCUUACCAGUUCAGAAUAAAAGCCACCAAUGACAUAGGGGACAGCGAGUACAGUCAGGAAAGUGAAGCAAUCACAACUCUACAGGAUGUGCCUGACGAAGCACCCUCGAUUCUCUCUGUCACGCCACACACAACAACGUCAGUGCUGAUCCGCUGGCAGGUAAGAACAAACAAAAUAACUUUAUAUAUAUAUUUUACUGUUUUCAAACUCCAUGAUCUAUUCGAGUGUGGGGAAGUGGCUUCUAAGAGACUAAGUAAACACAAGCGUUAUGAGAUACGCAUGAGUGUGUACAACGCCGUGGGUGAGGGGCCAACCAGCCCUCCACAGGAGGUGUUUGUUGGAGAAGCAGUGCCGACGGCCCCACCCCAGAAUGUGGCUAUUCAGUCCGCAACAGCCACCCAGCUGGAUGUGACGUGGGACCCUCCACCUGUGGAUGCGCAGAAUGGAGACAUCCAGGGAUACAAGAUUUACUUUUGGGAAUUCCAGCGUAAGAACGAGACUGAGCGGAUGCGGACUCUGUUUAUGCCUGAAGGAGGGGUGAAGCUGAAGAACUUGACUGGUUACACCACCUAUAUGAUCAGUGUGGCUCCAUUCAACGCUGCUGGGGACGGACCCCGAAGCCCACCAACGAGGGGACGCACUCAGCAAGCAGCUCCCAGUGCUCCCAGCUUCAUUCACUUCAGUGAACUGACCACCACCUCUGUCAAUGUGUCCUGGGGCGAGCCCACCUUCCCUAAUGGCAUCAUUGAGGGCUACCGUCUGGUCUAUGAACCCUCCACACCUGUAGAUGGCGUCAGUAAGACAGUGACGGUGGAUGUGAAGGGGACCGGCCCUCUCUGGUUGAAGAUCAGAGACCUGGCAGAUGGCGUCACGUACAACUUCCGCAUCCGGGCCAAGACCUUCAUCUACGGGCCUGAGGUGGAAGCAAAUAUCACCACGGGACCAGGGGAAGGUAGUGCCCCAGGGCCCCCUGGAGAGCCAUUUAUUACGCGCUACAGUUCGGGCCUCACCAUUCACUGGACCCCUGGAGACCCAGGACGUUCUCCCAUAACACGCUAUGUAAUUGAGGCCAGACCCUCAGAUGAGGGUUUGUGGGAUAUCUUAAUCAAGGACAUCUCCAAGGAUGCAACAUCGCACACAUUCAACAUGGACAUCCUGAAACAAGGUGUCAGUUAUGACUUUCGGGUCAUUGGAGUGAACGACUAUGGCUAUGGCUCUCCGAGUCUACCUUCUCCCUCCAUAUCUGCCCAAAAAGUGGCUCCUUUCUAUGAGGAAUGGUGGUUCCUGGUCGUGGUGGCUCUAGUGGGACUCAUCUUCAUUCUGCUGCUAGUUUUCAUCCUCAUUAUCAGAGGACAGAGCAAGAAGUAUGCAAAAAAGUCUGAAUCAGCUUGUGUUUCGCUUCCAGCCUGGUGGCAUGGAGGGUCUCCUCCCAGGCCCAGCCCAGGCAGUCUUCACUACUCGGACGAGGACGUCAGCACCAAGUACAACGACCUGAUCCCUGCAGAGAGCAGCAGCCUGACUGAAAAACCCUCGGAAAUCUCAGACUCACAGGGCAGCGACAGUGAGUAUGAGGUGGACCCUAACCGUCAGAAGACCCACUCCUUCGUCAACCACUACAUAAGUGACCCUACCUACUACAACUCCUGGCGGCGCCAACAGAAAGGCAUAUCCCGGGCGCAGGCCUACAGCUACACAGAGUCAGAGUCAGGAGAGCCGGAUCACUGCGCCCCACCACCGCUUCCCCCUCUACCUCCACUAGUUUUUAAAUGA
rnacentral:lncRNA from 1 species